UUCUUAUUAAGAGAGGUGGAGGGACUGGCCCUAUGAAACCUCGGCAGCGGACUUAUUCAAGUACUGUGCCAAUUCCAGUAGCAUUAACUUGAAGAUAAGAA
rnacentral:ncRNA from 2 species